rnacentral:tRNA from 1 species
UCCCUGCUGGUCUAGUGGCUAAGACUUGUGCUUCCAGUGCAGGGGGCCCAGGUUAAAUCCCUGGUCAGGGAA